GUGGGGAAUAUUGGACAAUGGGCGAGAGCCUGAUCCAGCCAUGCCGCGUGUGUGAAGAAGGUCUUCGGAUUGUAAAGCACUUUAAGUUGGGAGGAAGGGCAGUAAGUUGAUACCUUGCUGUUUUGACGUUACCGACAGAAUAAGCACCGGCUAACUUCGUGCCAGCAGCCGCGGUAAUACGAAGGGUGCAAGCGUUAAUCGGAAUUACUGGGCGUAAAGCGCGCGUAGGUGGUUUUGUAAGUUGGAGGUGAAAUCCCCGGGCUCAACCUGGGAACUGCCUCCAAAACUGCAUGACUAGAGUACGGUAGGGGGUAGUGGAAUUUCCUGUGUAGCGGUGAAAUGCGUAGAUAUAGGAAGGAACACCAGUGGCGAAGGCGACUACCUGGACUGAUACUGACACUGAGGUGCGAAAGCGUGGGGAGCAAACAGGAUUAGAAACCCGGGUAGUCC
rnacentral:rRNA from 1 species